AUAUAACUAACAGAAGGGUUAACUGACUAUAUAACUGACUGAACAGAAGGGUUAACUGACUAUAUAACUGACAGAACAGAAGGGUUAACUGACUAUAUAACUGACAGAACAGAAGGGUUAACUGACUGAACAGAAGGGUUAACUGACUAUAUAACUGACUGAACAGAAGGGUUAACUGACUGAACAGAAGGGUUAACUGACUAUAUAACUGACUGAACAGAAGGGUUAACUGACUAUAUAACUGACUGAACAGAAGGGUUAACUGACUAUAUAACUGACUGAACAGAAGGGUUAACUGACUAUAUAACUGACAGAACAGAAGGGUUAACUGACUGAACAGAAGGGUUAACUGACUAUAUAACUGACUGAACAGAAGGGUUAACUGACUAUAUAACUGACUGAACAGAAGGGUUAACUGACUAUAUAACUGACAGAACAGAAGGGUUAACUGACUGAACAGAAGGGUUAACUGACUGAACAGAAGGGUUAACUGACAGAACAGAAGGGUUAACUGACUGAACAGAAGGGUUAACUGACUGAACAGAAGGGUUAACUGACUGAACAGAAGGGUUAACUGACAGAACAGAAGGGUUAACUGACUGAACAGAAGGGUUAACUGACUGAACAGAAGGGUUAACUGACUGAACAGAAGGGUUAACUGACUGAACAGAAGGGUUAACUGACUGAACAGAAGGGUUAACUGACUGAACAGAAGGGUUAACUGACAGAACAGAAGGGUUAACUGACUGAACAGAAGGGUUAACUGACUAUAUAACUGACAGAACAGAAGGUUUAACUGACUGAACAGAAGGUUUAACUGACUAUAUAACUGACAGAACAGAAGGUUUAACUGACUAUAUAACUGACAGAACAGAAGGUUUAACUGACUAUAUAACUGACUGAA